rnacentral:rRNA from 1 species
UGCGAACUCCUACGGGAGGCAGCAGUGGGGAAUUUUGGACAAUGGGGGCAACCCUGAUCCAGCAAUGCCGCGUGAGUGAAGAAGGCCUUCGGGUUGUAAAGCUCUUUUGUCAGGGAAGAAACGGUAGUAGCUAAUAUCUAUUACUAAUGACGGUACCUGAAGAAUAAGCACCGGCUAACUACGUGCCAGCAGCCGCGGUAAUACGUAGGGUGCAAGCGUUAAUCGGAAUUACUGGGCGUAAAGCGUGCGCAGGCGGUUGUGUAAGUCAGAUGUGAAAUCCCCGGGCUCAACCUGGGAAUUGCAUUUGAGACUGCACGGCUAGAGGGUAGCAGAGGGGGGUAGAAUUCCACGUGUAGCAAUGAAAUUCGUAGAUAUGUGGAGGAAUACCGAUGGCGAAGGCAGCCCCCUGGGAUAACACUGACGCUCAUGCACGAAAGCGUGGGGAGCAAACAGGAUUAGAAACCCUGGUACUCCAGAUG